GCCGUUAGAUUCAGCGCACGGACCCGCAAACUUUGAAAAGAACGAGAUCAAAUUUAAUUGAUGAAUUGUGGAUAGUUUUUGCUGGCAUAUAACGUUUUGUAGGAAAUUGGAAGAUGCAAUUGGACUCAUUGGACGAGGCUUGAUUAAAUUGGUCACGCGUGCAUGUAAGCUGAUGGAUCGCAAACCGCAAAGAGAAUUGAAUUUUUAAAGGAGAAUUUUCACUUUGUGGGGACAACGUUGUAUUCGUAAUUUAAAGUCAAGGAUACCAAAAAA